GGGGGCAUCUAGCAAUUGGAGGCUCAAUUUUGCACUUGAUUGGAAUGAUUUAGAGUGGAUUAUAAAAGGGAGGUGGAUGGAAAUGAGAAGAAGAGGAGGACACCCUCCUACUCAUGGCGGCCAGAGGCGUUGUGGCCUAGCGCUCGAAACGGGAAUGAGGCUAGGCACAGGGAGGAUGUCGGCUUGCCUGGGCGACAGUGAGGACGGUAAAAUGCACAGCGCCUGGGCAAAGGCGAGGAUAGGGCAAGAUGCAGGUGGUGCCAAUGGACGAAGAGGCAGUGACUAGCUGGAUGACGAUGACUAUAAGGGAAAUCGAAUGAAUGGAUAGAGCGGAGGUUAAGCAGUGAAUUUUUUUUUAUUUCCAUAUGUGUGUUCCCAUAAUAAACAGAUGGCAUCAAACCACAUACAAAUAUCUUCUACUAUUGUACUUGCAAAGAGAGAACUACUAAGGACAACGCACUAACAUAUUGUGAAGUGAAGAUAACAUAUUAGGAACAAGCGAAUAAUAAUGUGAGAGUAAGUAAGGACUCGUAGCAACACACGAGCAUUUCUGCUAGUUAAAAUAAUAAAAAUUACUAAUUUUAGGAUCAAAUCUACUUAUGUCAUUUUAAACCCUAUAAGUUAUGACUUGCUCCCCCU
rnacentral:lncRNA from 1 species